rnacentral:rRNA from 1 species
AAUUCGCCCUUAGAGUUUGAUCCUGGCUCAGAAUGAACGCUGGCGGCGUGCUUAACACAUGCAAGUCGAACGAUGAAGCCUAGCUUGCUAGGUGGAUUAGUGGCGCACGGGUGAGUAAUAUAUAGAUAACGUGCCUCUUAGUCUGGGAUAGCCAUUGGAAACGAUGAUUAAUACUAGAUACUCCUUCUCUUUAUAACUAGAGUUGGGAAAGUUUUUCGCUAAGAGAUCGGUCUAUAUCCCAUCAGCUUGUUGGUAGUGUAAGAGACUACCAAGGCAAUGACGGGUAGCGGGUUUGAGAGGAUGAUCCGCCACACUGGUACUGGGACACGGACCAGACUCCUACGGGAGGCAGCAGUGAGGAAUAUUGCACAAUGGAGGAAACUCUGAUGCAGCAACGCCGCGUGGAGGAUGACGCAUUUCGGUGUGUAAACUCCUUUUAUAU